rnacentral:lncRNA from 1 species
CAAUUAUUGUCAAUUUAAAAAUACAAUUUUAAAAACACUCAUUUUAUUUUUUUAAAUUAAUUGUUCUUAUUUUAAAAAUUAUUAUUUUUUAGGGAUGGGAUCUCACUGCAUUGCUCAGGCUGGUCUCAAACUCCUGGGCUCAAGCAAUCUUCCUGCCUUAGCUUCCCAAAGUUCUGGGAUUACAGGCAUGAGCCACCACUCCCAGCCAAAAAAAAAAAUACUCAUUUAAAGCUGCACAAGUUUGAUGGCACAAGUCUGUAUAACUGGACCUGUGCCUUUAUAAAACCUCAAACACUGCAAAGGUUCAUGAAACAAUGUAUAUCUAUUCUUCUUAUUCACUGUCAUCAAUGCUGACCAGGGAAAAUUGCACAGGUGCACGUGUGUGUGUGUGUGUGUAGGGCUAGUGAAGCAGGCAACUACCAGAGAUACAUUAUUAAAAAGCUAACAUUUAUUGGCCAGGCGCGGUGGCUUACGUCUGUAAUCCCAGCACUCUCACGGGUGGUGCCUCCCCGGCAAUGGGGGUCCCAAGAUCCAGGGGGGGAAAAGGGGAUGGCUCUCAGCCACCACAAAAUGGGGGGCCUUUAUGUUCAGGUUUUGCCCAAGAGUCAGCUUAUUUGCUUCUUGUACUAGCAGGGCAGUUGCUGCCAAGGCCUCAAACAGGGGAGCCAUCCUUCAGAAACCCUGUCUAGUUGUUCAGAGACGUAGGCCACCGGCCUCAGCCAGGGCCCCACAGUUUGGGUUAAAAGUCCAGCUGCCAUCUUUUCUCUCUCUAACGCAUACAAUGGAAAAGGCUUUGUCAGAUCGGGUAGCCCCAGGGCUGGGGCUGCCAGAAGUUUUUCCUUUAAGUCAUGAAAGACUUGCUGUUCUUGGAUCCCCAUUCCAAAGGUUCCGGUCCCCGCCCCCUUUGUGACCUCAUACAAAGGCUUGGCUAAUACUGCAAAGUUUGGGAUCCACAGUCUACAAAACCCCACAUCCCCUGAGAAUUCUCUCGCCUGCCUUAGGCACUUAGGCUCCGGGAGAUUGCAAAUAACCUGCUUUCUUUCUGUUCCCGGGCUGCGUUCGGACUCCUGUCAGAUAGUAAAUCCUAAGUAAGGUGGCGUCGGACCCCUGUCAGAGAGUAAAUCUCAAGUAAGGUACCUGCCAUCGGCAGAUUUGAGCUUUCUUCUUGGACACCUAAUACCCACAGUCCUCCAGGCUCCGGUAGACUGCAAAUGACCUGCUUUCUUUCUGUUCCCGGGCUGCGUUUGGACCCCUGUCGGACAGUAAAUCCCAAGUAAGGUACCUGCCCUCGGCAGAUUUGAGCUUUCUUCUUGGACACCUAAUACCCACAGUCCUCCAGGAAUGGAACAGAUAAGAAGAUACUGAAAUUGGACGGUGCUGCCGUGCGGCUGCCGCAGGACACCUUUAAUAUCCCUGUUUCUCAGGCUGUAGAUGAAGGGGUUCAGCAUGGAGGUGAUCACCGUGUACAUCACUGAGGCCACUGCAGCCUUUCUCGGGGAAGAUGACACAUCUGAACUGAGGUACCCUCCAAAGCCUGUUCCGUAAAAUCAGCAAACAACUGACAGGAUAACUUCAGGAAGUGGGUAUUAAUUCUCACGGUAUAAGUGAAGACAUUAAGCACCAGAGUUUAAGUAGCUUGAUCCACUGAAAGAGAUUCAACUGUGUGGAACCUAUGCCGUGGAGAAUUGCUUUCUGCCAUUGUUAUCGUCCAGCAGUUGCCGAAUAGCUCUGACCUGAGCAAAGCAGUGAAACGCGGUGCUGUUGAGUGGGUUGCCACUGCACCUUUUUCAACUACUCUAGUCUUGUGGAGAAAAUACCCCUUCUAAAUUUUUUCUUCAUUGAAUACUCUCCCUCAGCUCCAGAGUACCAUAUAGAGUUUUCUUGUAUUUUAGAGUUACUGUUUUAUCAAAGUUUACCAGUCUUUUGUAUUACAUUUCUCCUGUCUAAAUCGACUGUGUGGUUUCUACUCAUUAUGGAUAUAGAUUGAUACAAACUCAAUAAAUAUUUUUGAAUGAAUAACUCCACAGUCCAAGUUAUUUUAAUCACUAUACAAAAUCUCCAGAGUUUCUCCCAUAUUUCUGAAC